rnacentral:lncRNA from 1 species
GAAAGAGACAUUGGACCCUAACUAUCCUGAUUCUCCCCCCGACCGUGUCACCAUCGCAGCCCCCCCCACAUACACACGUACUAAGACACACAGACAGAUACUGUACAUGCAAAAACACACAUACACGCACAUCUACACACAGACUCUCUCUCCAGUCAUUCCAGCAGUCCCAAAUGGUAAAUCUGCAGGUAACAUGGUGUAGCUCGUUCAGUUACUCCAGAUUGUAGUCCACCGACGUUGUUUCUGUUUAUUAUUGAAAUAUAAUAAGUAUUAUUAUCCUGAUUUAGGACAUUUUUGGCCUCUAAUAUAGCGUUUCUCAAAUCGUACUCACUGUAACAUUUCAUUAUAUUUGUAUUAUUUAUUUUAUUCUUUAUGCAAUGUUUAAAUAUCCAAAUGUACAUAGAAAUAUACUUAUCUAUAUUUAUACAGUACGAACAUGUAUAAAUAUAGUCACCAUAUGCAGUACUGAUGUACUAUACGAUUAUAGUACAUGGUGUGUUCUGUCAUAUACCUCACGAUCCAUCACCACCCAUAACCACCCAUAGAUAUGUGACAUUCAGCUUUGUUGUUUCAAAGUGGGAAUGUGUUGUUAGUAUUAUAAUUCUAGAUACUUGAUUAAACACAAACUUUACUGGUUUUGAAGUCCAGUUCUGGCACAUAUGACUUGUAGUGCAGGAGGGUGGGUUACCAUGGCAAAGUAAACAAACUGGUACAUUCUCUGAUGGCCAGCUUCCAUCGUUAGGAUUCCUACUAUUAGGGAGGGCACAGCGUCUGUCUGUAGCAGCACAUUCAGUGUGUCUCAAAUAGCACCCUAUUCCCUCAACAUGCUGGUCCCUUCUGUAGUGACUACUCUCUGUGAUGCUUACUAGAGUUCACUCGACUGGGGUGACAAUGUUGUACAUACAGUAAGUAGCACUAGGAAGAUUCAAAGGAGAUUUUCAAUUGAUUUGGUUUAAAGAUGAAUUAUUGGACUCAAAAGGUACAAAUGUUACUGUUGUGGUAUCGGACACGCUACAGACAGUCCGAAAGACACGCUACAGACAGUCCGAAGGACACGCUACAGACAGUCCUACGGACACGCUACAGACAGUCCUACGGACACGCUACAGACAGUCCUACGGACACGCUACAGACAGUCCUACAGACAGUCCUACGGACACGCUACAGACAGUCCUACGGACACGCUACAGACAGUCCUACGGACACGCUACAGACAGUCCUACGGACACGCUACAGACAGUCCGAAAGACACGCUACAGACAGUCCGAAAGACGCUACAGACAGUCCUACAGACAGUCCUACAGACACGCUACAGACAGUCCGAAAGACGCUACAGACAGUCCUACAGACACGCUACAGACAGUCCUACGGACACGCUACAGACAGUCCUACGGACACGCUACAGACAGUCCGAAAGACGCUACAGACACGCUACAGACAGUCCUACAGACACGCUACAGACAGUCCUACAGACACGCUACAGACAGUCCUACGGACACGCUACAGACAGUCCUACAGACACGCUACAGACAGUCCUACGGACACGCUACAGACAGUCCUACGGACACGCUACAGACAGUCCGAAAGACACGCUACAGACAGUCCGAAAGACACGCUACAGACAGUCCGACAGACGCUACAGACAGUCCGAAAGACACGCUACAGACAGUCCGAAAGACGCUACAGACACGCUACAGACAAUCCUACAGACAGUCCUACGGACACACUACAGACAGUCCUACGGACACGCUACAGACAGUCCUACGGACACGCUACAGACAGUCCUACGGACACGCUACAGACAGUCCUACGGACAAGCUACAGACAGUCCUACGGACACGCUACAGACAGUUCUACGGACACGCUACAGACAGUCCGAAAGACACGCUACAGACAGUCCGAAAGACGCUACAGACAGUCCUACGGACACGCUACAGACAGUCCUACGGACACGCUACAGACAUCCUUACGGACACGCUACAGACAGUCCGAAAGACACGCUACAGACAGUCCGAAUGACAGUCCUACGGACACGCUACAGACACGCAACAGACAGUCCGAAAGACACGCUACAGACAGUCCUACAGACAGUCCUACGGACACGCUACAGACAGUCCUACAGACACGCUACAGACAGUCAUACAGACACGCUACAGACACGCUACAGACAGUCCUACAGACAGUCCUACGGACAAGCUACAGACAGUCAUACAGACACGCUACAGACAGUCCGACAGACAGUCCGAAAGACACGCUACAGACAGUCCGAAAGACACGCUACAGACAGUCCUACGGACACGCUACAGACAGUCCUACGGACACGCUACAGACAGUCCAAAAGACACGCUACAGACAGUUCUACAGACGUCCUACAGACAGUCCUACAGACACGCUACAGACAGUCCUACAGACAGUCCUACGGACACGCUACAUACAGUCCUACAGACACGCUACAAACAGUGCUACAGACAGUCCUACGGACAAGCUACAGACAGUCCUACAGACAGUCCUACGGACAAGCUACAGACAGUCCUACAGACACGCUACAGACAGUCUGACAGACAGUCCGAAAGACACGCUACAGACAGUCCGAAAGACACGCUACAGACAGUCCGACAGACACGCUACAGACAGUCCUACAGACACGCUACAGACAGUCCUACAGACACGCUACAGACAGUCCGACAGACAUGCUACCGUCCGACAGACAGACACACUACAGACAGUCUGAAAGACACGCUACAGACGGUCCCACAGACGUGCUACAGACAGUCCUGCAGACACACGCUACAGACAGUCCUAGCUACAGACAGUCCUACAGACACACGCUGCAGACAGUCCGAAAGACAGACACGCUACAGACGGUCCUACAGACACGCUGCAGACAGACACACGCUACAGAUGGUCCGAAAGACAGACACACGCUACAGACAGUCCGAAAGACAGACACACGCUACAGACGGUCCGAAAGACAGACACACGCUACAGACGGUCCGAAAGACAGACACACGCUACAGACGGUCCGAAAGACAGACACACGCUACAGACGGUCCGAAAGACAGACACACGCUACAGACACGCUACAGACAUACAGUAGCACCCCAGUAACUGCAUCUCAGUAAGCAUCAGUAGUAUGAUUGACUGGUAUGAUUGACUAGUAUGAUUCGCUACAGACAGUCCUUCAGACAUUCAUACAGACACGCUACAGACAGUCCUUCAGACACGCUACAGACAGUCCUACAGACAUUCAUACAGACAGUCCUUCAGACACGCUACAGACAGUCCUUCAGACACGCUACAGACAGUCCUACAGACAGUCCUACAGACAUUCAUACAGACACGCUACAGAUAUGCAUACAGACACACUACAGACAUUCAUACAGACACGCUACAGAUAUGCAUACAGACACGCUACAGAUAUGCAUACAGAAACACUACAGACAUUCAUACAGACACACUACAGACAUUCAUACAGACAUGCAUACAGACACGCUACAGACAUUCAUACAGACACGUUACAGACAUACAGUAGCACCCCAGAAACUGCAUCUCAGUAAGCAUCAGUAGUAUGAUUGACUAGUAUGAUUGAUUGACUAGUAUGAUUGAUGAGUUGAUUGAUUGACAGGUGUGUUUCUGAUGAUACCACUGAGUGCUGUACAGCUGAAGCCUGUCUGUACACUAACGUGACACCACAAGACUAUGAAAGCCCACUGAGCUAAUCUCCUAGGCAUUAGCCCAGGGAGCUAACACAAAUAUUGAGCUUAAUGCAGUCAAAACGUUGCAUGCAAUCAAGUAACCAGGAGCAGUCAUUUAACAGUGUAUUCCUGUUUAACCUCCAGGUCAGACCCCGCUCUCUCUUCCUGGCCACAGUCAUAUGCUACAAUGGCACCCUAUUCCCUACAUUGUGCACUAUAUAGGGAAUAGGGUGCCAUUGGGACGCAGCCCAGUGAGGACCCCCACACUGGCUCUGGCUGCAGUCCGCUGUUAUUCUAAAUGGUAGAUUUACCAAGGCCACUAGAGAAUUCCUCUGGGCUACAGCCAAGAGCUGGCCGGCCGCACGGGGAGAGAGAGGAAAGGAGGACGAGAACUCCACUCAACGGUUCCUGAGGAGCGACUCUUUCCCUCUCCUCCUCCCACCUCUUCUUACAGUUCAGAGGUGUAUGUUGGCCAGUCAUGGAGGCUCUCCUGCCCCUCUAAGCUUCGACAUGUCUAUUCAGAUGAUGUGACAUCCUAUUGCAGUUCAUUGUCUUCUCAUUGGGCACCAGGUGUGUCACUCCAUUAAUAAUGUAACUGACAAUCUGUUCCAUACUCUGUCACUAUCUUCUGCAUUUUGUGUUCUGGGAGAAAUAGUCUGAAGUGCUUCCUGUUUCUCAGUGUUCCAUACAGCAUGUCACUUCCUCUACACCCCCAGUUGUGCUCAUGGAUUAGCUGCCCUGCCAGAAUGACCAUACAGAAUGUGGUCUGGUAUGGUUUUAAUUCACCUGUCUGAUCAUGUGUAUACAAACAGUACUAUGAACUAAGGACUCAUGAAAUCAAAAUCAACAGAAAUGUAUCUUGAUAUCAUUAAAG